GGUUAAGUUAAUAAGGGCGCACGGUGGAUGCCUUGGCACUAGGAGCCGAAGAAGGACGUGACAAACGACGAUAUGCCUUGGGUAGCUGUAAGUAAGCGAUGAUCCAGGGAUUUCCGAAUGGGGGAACCCAACAGGUACUACCUGUUACCCGCAUCUGUUAAGGAUGUGAGGAGGAAGACGCAGUGAACUGAAACAUCUAAGUAGCUGCAGGAAGAGAAAGCAAAAGCGAUUGCCUUAGUAGCGGCGAGCGAAACGGCAGGAGGGCAAACCGAAGAGUUUACUCUUCGGGGUUGUAGGACUGCAAUGUGGACUCAAAGAUUAUAGAAGAAUGAUUUGGGAAGAUCAGCCAAAGAGAGUAAUAGCCUCGUAUUUAAAAUAGUCUUUGUACCUAGCAGUAUCCUGAGUACGGCGGGACACGUGAAAUCCCGUCGGAAUCUGGGAGGACCAUCUCCCAACCCUAAAUACUCCCUAGUGACCGAUAGUGAACCAGUACCGUGAGGGAAAGGUGAAAAGCACCCCGGGAGGGGAGUGAAAUAGAACCUGAAACCGUGUGCCUACAACAAGUUC
rnacentral:rRNA from 1 species